AUCACUGCACCUUACCGAUACUGUACUUACCGUCUGUUCUGUAAAAAUUAAUAUUUUACGUGAAUUCUUCGCUCAUAAUUAGUCAUAAUUCGUCAUUGUGAGACUUUUCUGCGUAAAAUUCUCAAAAAUAUCAAAAAUCAUACGAAAAAUCCCCGAAAUCGAAGAAAUUUUUUUAUUCAACGGACUUUGGAGCAUCAACAAUGGACCAAAAAGUGGAAUCUCCGGAAAACAGGGCCCUCUCCGAACCAAAUUCCGAUGACAUGAUCUUCUAUUUGCUCCUGUCGCUACUUGUUCUGGCAAUUGUGGCGAUGAUUAUUGGAUGCAUUUGUUUCUGCAACUGGUGGUGCAAAUAUCGAAGGGGUGGACACAACACUGGAUGGCAAAAUGUUGCUUCUGCUGAAAGAAGAGGCCAAUUCCAGAUGAGCCGCAGCUUCUAAAGGACUUUUUAUGAGUGAAAUUGAACUUUAACCAUCGAGAUCGAUUGAAUUGGACAAAACAACGAAUUACAAAAUUUUAAUUCUUAGAAACGAAAAAAAAGUAUUUACAAAUUUUUUUUAUUAACAGUUUUUUUUACAUUUUAAUGUUGUUGACGUGUUUGAAACUAAUUUUUUAAGUAAUUUGUAACUUUUUUUACUAAAUAAAAAUAAAAAAAAAAAACAAUUUUUUGAUGCAAGUUCAUGGAGGUGGAAUUAUGAUCAAAAUAACGAGUUUGUGUCAACUGAGUGGUAUUUCAAUUUGACUUGUGUAGGAUGGAUUGGACCUUUUUAUUGAAUAGUCGUUUUUGGAAGAUUAUUUUGAUAUAAAACAAUAAUAAACAAAUAAA